GCCAGACUUUGCCGUUCUGUUGCAAGAAGACACCUGAGGGUUUCUCACUGAACACAAGGACACUUGGGGGAUGACCUGCUGUUAUUGUGCUGUAAAGAAGGAUGAUAAGGAGAACUUGGAGACAUAUUGUGAUGGUCUUUGCAGCUCCCCCUGCAACGAGCUGCAUCCUUUUCUGAUGCAUGCUAAUUUAUAAAUAGACACGAUUCCACAACUCGGAGAAAGCUUUAGUCUCUCCUUGUACUUGAUAUAUGUGAUACUCUGCAGUAGAGAACAGAUAUUUGUACCAGAUUCUGCUCCCAUGGAAAUGGGCAGAAGAAGACUCAGAGGCAAGGGGUGAAAUAGCAUCAGGGUUAUCUCUUGUCCUCAGCUCAGAGGUCCUAUUACAGCCAGUCUGAAAGGCCAGGAGACGCCCUUGGAUUUAGCAGCACAGUCUCGAGUGUAUGCGUGUGUCUCUGCUCAAGAUGAACAUCCUGUUGUUUGCAGAGUCCAGUUACAGCUAAAGCUAAAAAAAAGUAUCUGUCUGCAUAAACAGGAAUUUUCCUCAAUUGCAGGAGCCAGCAGAGGACACUGCUUUGUCUCUGUCUCUGAAAGGGCUGAGUAAUGUUUUGUUUGUUUGUUUUGUACUUUUUGCUGCCUUCCUCCAGCUCCAUGACUUUGGUGGCGCCUUUGGCAGAAGAACAGUUGCCAUUGCUUCCAUUUUAUCCGUAUCCACCAGAGGAUUUUGUUUUCCAGACUGUUUGCUGCUGCUGAAGCCAUAGCAAUAAUGCUCCUGGUACAGCUUUACUUAAGGGAGGGAAGAAACAAAACCACAUGACAAAUUGGUCCAAUUUAUCACAGCAACAGAAACCUGCAAUUCAGCUCAAUCGCCCCCACAGGCCAGCUUAGACAGCAUCAAUAUUUAAUGACCUGAGUGCCACUGCCUUCACAGCUUGGGCUCCACAACUGCCCCUUGUUGCGGGUACCCCCCAGGAACAUCACCCCACUAGUGUGGAGAGCACCCCCAGAAUUCCUCUGGGUGAGAAGGUCUGCCUUCAGCCUGCCAAGUCAAGUCUGCUUGCUACCCAAAGGGGCACAGUCCAGACCUGCUGGGUAUGACCAAACUCUGCCCCUUUUUCCUGCCUGGCUCGACCGCCCGUGCCAUAGGUUUAUGCCCAAGUAACAGCUCUAGGCUUUCUGGGCAUGCCUGGGAUCUGUGGCAAACAGGAAAGCAGGAGUAGGACUGGACCACUGCAGCUCCUGGCCUCUCCUACAGUCUUUUUUUGGGUGAUUGUUUAACACAGACAGGACUGUUCACUUGGUAGCAAGCUGGAGGUGGCUUCUGUUCAGCUGUUUAUGUCUGUUCCCAUUAUUAAGGCAGGAGUAUUCUAUUCCAAAAGGAGCUGCAGUGAAAUAAAAUGCCAGAAACAUGUCCUGCACACAGUGCAGAAAGACUUGAAAAGAGGGUGAGUCAAGCUAUGCCAAAUCUCUCCCACUGUGAGCCAAGCGGGGCAUCAGAGGAGGUUUGGGAGUCUCUUUUACUGGGCCCAGGCUCUGAACUGGCCACAGCAAUUGGCAUCCAAGAACCUCUCCCAGCUCCACCCCAGCAUGUGGCCCCUUUUGGGCUUGCUCUGCCUGGGACAGUAACAGGAACAAGUGACAGGUUAUACAGCUAUAUAUAACCAUAAGCAUGUUCCCUCAUGGCUUUCUUUCCUGUUUCCCUAGUCUGUAAAAUGGAUGUGACUGCAAUCUCCUGGUGACAAGCACAAAGUAAAACAAAGCAUUUUUAUCAGAGCUGUGGUGGAGCAGAGGAAUUUGUGUUGCUGGACCAGCAACUUGAAUUCCUCCAGCAAAACAGCAUCUUUCACUAGGUUCUCUGUUCACUUGAAAAUCCCCAUGAUUUAGCAAAUUGCAUAUUCCAAAGGGGGAGUUCAUUAUCCACUCCACUGGCAGUGAGUGGCAGAGGCCAUUACAAUAAAUGGCAUUUUGGGAAGAUGGCUCUCUAACUCACUUGGUAUUAACACUGGCUGUGGGGGCUCAGCUCUAUGUAAGAUACAUUCAGCAACGCCCUUUUGUGAUCAUCUCCCUGUGCUAAGGAGCUGUUAGAAUAAGGGUGAUUAGGAAUAAACCUAAGAGCAGAGGUUUCUGCACCAAAAUAGUUUGGGCCAGAGGCUGCAUGGCCAAGGGGAUGAUGGUGUGUAAAGAAGACUCAGGUAUUUAGAAGGGAAAAGCUGGCUUGCUGCAGUUUGUCCAGAGAUGCUGGACCAUUUCCAGUGCCAGAGCUUGGCUGCUGAGGGAUAGCUUCCAUCCCCUGGAGCACCUGGUGACUGCCCCCAGACCCUCUGCUCUUGUAGUUAUAGGGCACCUGUCUUGUUAUGGCCAUGGCUCAAAACUAACCAGCAGAACUGUGCAGAAUAAUAUGUAACUCAACAGACACCUAGAAGCGCCCUAGCAAAUACUAAAUGGAUGGUUCCAUCAGUUAACUGUCCAAGAAAGGAAUUGUAAGCCAAUUCAGUGCAUUCCAAAUCACAGCUCUGUGAAAAAAAGUUAACACAGAGCACAGCUCUUCCUCCUGGCAGCCAUCCAGUUAUUAAUUUCCAUGUAUCAGCUGCAUCUGAAUGGGCUUGGUCUUCCGCCCACUGUUUCUAUUUAUUUGUUUUCCAUUCAUCUCCACUAAAAUUAAAAACUCAAAGCCUUCCAGAGAGAAUGGAAAACAAACAUGCUGAACCAAUACUGCUACCCACAUACAACCAGCAGAAACCAUGGCACUUUUUCCUCCUUUGCAGUGAGGCAAGAUCUAAUUUUUAAAGCUCUGGUCUUUCACCUGAAAAA